rnacentral:rRNA from 1 species
CUACGGGUCGCAGCAGUGGGGAAUAUUGGACAAUGGGCGCAAGCCUGAUCCAGCAAUGCCGCGUGGGUGAAGAAGGCCUUCGGGUUGUAAAGCCCUUUUGUACGGGAAGAAAAGCGCCGGGCGAAUACCCUGGUGUCAUGACGGUACCGUAAGAAUAAGCACCGGCUAACUUCGUGCCAGCAGCCGCGGUAAUACGAAGGGUGCAAGCGUUAAUCGGAAUUACUGGGCGUAAAGCGUGCGUAGGCGGUUUGUUAAGUCCGAUGUGAAAGCCCUGGGCUCAACCUGGGAAUGGCAUUGGAUACUGGCGAGCUAGAGUCAGGUAGAGGGUGGUGGAAUUCCCGGUGUAGCGGUGAAAUGCGUAGAGAUCGGGAGGAACAUCCGUGGCGAAGGCGGCCACCUGGACCAUGACUGACGCUGAGGCACGAAAGCGUGGGGAGCAAACAGGAUUAGAUACCCUCGUAGUC